rnacentral:rRNA from 1 species
GUCUAUGGCCAUACUACCCUGAAUGCACCCAAUUUCGUCUGAUCUUGGAAGCUAAGCAGGGUCAGGCCUGGUUACUAUUUGAAUGAAAGAAAUUGGAUAUUUGAAUGUGGUUGAUU